rnacentral:rRNA from 1 species
GGGGAACCUGCCGAAGGAUCAUUACCGAGUGAGGGCCCUCUGGGUCCAACCUCCCACCCGUGUCUAUCGUACCUUGUUGCUUCGGCGGGCCCGCCGUUUCGACGGCCGCCGGGGAGGCCUUGCGCCCCCGGGCCCGCGCCCGCCGAAGACCCCAACAUGAACGCUGUUCUGAAAGUAUGCAGUCUGAGUUGAUUAUCGUAAUCAGUUAAAACUUUCAACAACGGAUCUCUUGGUUCCGGCAUCGAUGAAGAACGCAGCGAAAUGCGAUAAGUAAUGUGAAUUGCAGAAUUCAGUGAAUCAUCGAGUCUUUGAACGCACAUUGCGCCCCCUGGUAUUCCGGGGGGCAUGCCUGUCCGAGCGUCAUUGCUGCCCUCAAGCACGGCUUGUGUGUUGGGCCCCCGUCCCCCUCUCCCGGGGGACGGGCCCGAAAGGCAGCGGCGGCACCGCGUCCGGUCCUCGAGCGUAUGGGGCUUUGUCACCUGCUCUGUAGGCCCGGCCGGCGCCAGCCGACACCCAACUUUAUUUUUCUAAGGUUGACCUCGGAUACAGGUAGGGAUACCCGCU